rnacentral:rRNA from 1 species
GAUGAAGAGCGCAGCCAACUGUGUGAAUUAAUGUGAACUGCAUACUGCUUUGAACAUCGACAACUUGAACGCACAUUGCGGCCAUGGGUUAGCCUGUGGCCACGCCUGUCCGAGGGUUGGCAU